rnacentral:rRNA from 1 species
GACGAACGCUGGCGGCGUGCUUAACACAUGCAAGUCGAACGGAAAGGCCCGGCGUUUGUGGGGUGCUCGAUUGGCGAACGGGGGAGUAACACGCGAGUAACCUGCCCUUGUCUUUGGGAUAACAUCACGAAACUGGGGCUAAUACCGCAUAGGAGCUCCUGCUGCACGGUGGGGGUUGGAAAGUGUCGGCGGUAGUGGAUGGGCUCGCGGCUUAUCCGCUGCUUGGGGGGGUUGUGGCUUACCAAGGCUUUGACGGGUAGGCGGCCUGAGAGGUUGACCAGCCACCAUGGGCCUGCGAUAGGCACCAGUAUCCUACGGGCGGCAGCAGUGGGGAGUCUUGCACAGUGGGCGCAAGCCUGAUGCAGCAGCCUCGCGUGCGGGAUGACGGCCUUCGGGUUGUAAACAGCUUUCGCCUGUGCCGAAGAGUGAGUGACGGUACUGGGUAAAGAAGCACCGGCUAACUACGUG